rnacentral:rRNA from 1 species
AUUGAACGCUGGCGGCAGGCCUAACACAUGCAAGUCGAACGAGUGGCGGACGGGUGAGUAAUGUCUGGGAAACUGCCUGAUGGAGGGGGAUAACUACUGGAAACGGUAGCUAAUACCGCAUACCAUCGGAUGUGCCCAGAUGGGAGUAGCUAGUAGGUGGGGUAAUGGCGCACCUAGGCGACGAUCCCUAGCUGGUCUGAGAGGAUGACCAGCCAAACUGGAACUGCGACACGGUCCAGAAUCCUACGGGAGGCAGCAGUGGGGAAUAUUGCACAAGGGGCGCAAGCCGGAUGCAGCCAGGCCGCGUGUAUGAAGAAGGCCUUCGGGUUGUAAAGUACUUUCAGCGAGGAGGCGUUACCCGCAGAAGAAGCACCGGCUAACGCCGUGCCAGCCGCCGCGGUAAUAC